ACGAACGCUGGCGGCGUGCUUAACACAUGCAAGUCGAACGGAAAGGCCCUGCUUUUGUGGGGUGCUCGAGUGGCGAACGGGUGAGUAACACGUGAGUAACCUGCCCUUGACUUUGGGAUAACUUCAGGAAACUGGGGCUAAUACCGGAUAGGAGCUCCUGCUGCAUGGUGGGGGUUAGAAAGUUUCGGCGGUUGGGGAUGGACUCGCGGCUUAUCAGCUUGUUGGUGGGGUAGUGGCUUACCAAGGCUUUGACGGGUAGCCGGCCUGAGAGGGUGACCGGCCACAUUGGGACUGAGAUACGGCCCAGACUCCUACGGGAGGCAGCAGUAAGGAAUAUUGCACAAUGGGCGGAAGCCUGAUGCAGCAACGCCGCGUGCGGGAUGACGGCCUUCGGGUUGUAAACCGCUUUCGCCUGUGACGAAGCGUGAGUGACGGUAAUGGGUAAAGAAGCACCGGCUAACUACGUG
rnacentral:rRNA from 1 species